CUUUCUGGAAGUCACUUGUCACUGCACUGCAUUCAGGGACCAAAAUAAAUCCAUGAUGUAAGUAUUAACUUUGCCAGAGGUUUCCCAAAUAUUACCCCCUUGUGGCAGCACCAAGGGGACGAGCCGACGAGGGGAAGGGAAGCCAGCGUGUGUCGUGGCGGGGAGUGAGGGGAACGCAGAGGAUUACCAGGUCACGGAUUAAGGCGCCGCUGCCUCGCCAUUACGUGUGGUGGAUAAAAAAAAGGUGAGAAAAAUAUAAUAAAGCGAAGAGUGAGUUGGGAAGACUAUAUAGACGCGUGGUUAUCUUUAUAUAUUACCUGUUUACUGUUCCCAAGAUGCGGAUAUGGAAUGAAAAAUGUGCUUGAAAAGAAUGAAAGUAAAAUGGAAGAAAACAGUGAAAUGAAAAACGAGUGGUCUUAUUUCUCCUUUUUCUCUUUUCACGCUGAGGAGGAAAAGUGCUUGAAGAAAAAUACAUUAGUGAAAGUGAAUGAAGCCAGAAAAAGAGGAAAGGAAAAGAAAGUGCUUGAAAAAAUACUAAUGAAAGUGAAAGAAGCUGAAAAAAGGGAAAUGAAAAGGAAGUGCUUGAAAAUUUUUUAGUGAAAGUGAAAGAAGCGAAGGAAAGUGAAGUGAAGAAAAGUGCUUGUAAAAAAAUAAAAGAUGCAUAAUGAAAGUGAAAACAACAACAACAACUGAAGAAUAAACAAAGGGAAAAAAAGUGCCCCUAAAAGUGAACCCAAAAAGUAAAUAAAAAAAUGUGAAAAAAAUAUUGAAAGAAAAAGGAAAAAAGUGCACGAAAAAAAUACUGAAAGAAAAAUGCUUGAAAAAAAUAUUGAAAGAAAAAAGAAAAAAAAAGUGCUUGAAAAAAAGAAAGAAAAGAAAAAAGUGCUCGAGUUCCUCCUCUUCCUUCAUACCGAGCUAAGUGGUCACACGGCGGGGGUCACAAGAGGGUCUGCCGGUAGUACGUCAUCCAGGUUCAUCCCGACCCCUGUGCUGCCCUCAAGGUGUGUGGGGGACGGGGCAGGGGUAGGGGGGGUGUUACCUGGAUGCUCGGAACCCCCACUGUACCCCCGUUGAGAUGCCCCGUGCGCUGUGUCCACUCUGCUCGCCCCGUCAUCGCCCCGUUUCCGCCCCAUCUUUGCCCCAUCUCAACGCUGUGCCCUUGGUGAGAAACCGAGAGGUGCAGCGUUUCCUCCGUCCCGCAAGGUAAGGUGACACAUAUGUGUACAACUCCUCGGGGGUUACUUUUAUCGCCUUGAAAGCUGUCAUUCGCAGUCUGAACAAACACAAUGUCGAGUUAGCACGGACUGACGCAUGUUUUAUCGUGUUUGACGUGAUGUGCCAGUGCGUAUAGUGACUCCAAGCUAGUGAG